rnacentral:rRNA from 1 species
CUGCGGAAGGAUCAUUAAAUUACAAUGCAAUGCACGGUUUCUGACCAUUGCUGUGUGCCAGUCCAUGGCCGUUUUAGUGGGGUGCGGGCCUUCCCAAUAGCCAAAUUCAACCUGGUUGUUUCCGCUGGCAGGUUGGCCCAAUAUCUCUGCAAGGCAACUUGGAUAUCGGCGGCCUUUGCCGUGCAUUGUUUCCAAUUGUAACCCAAUCUGUGUACCCGUCCUGUUGCUUUCGUGGGGUGAGGCUGUACUUGAAAGCUCUAGCCAGUUUUUUGGUUGGAGUUUUUGAUGUCGGCUUCAGUUGGCCGGUCGGCCAAUUCCUGCGGAAGGAAAUUUUCAAAUCAUUUGCAUUCAUUUUGCCUUCUGUCUGAAUCAUGUUUAUAACAAUCGUUAAAACUUUCAACAACGGAUCUCUUGGUUCUCGCAUCGAUGAAGAACGCAGCGAAAUGCGAUAAGUAGUGUGAAUUGCAGAAUUCAGUGAAUCAUCGAAUCUUUGAACGCACAUUGCGCCUCCUGGUAUUCCGGGAGGCAUGCCUGUUCGAGCGUCAUGAUAGAAUACUCAAGCAAGGUUUCUUGCAUGGUUUUGAAGGUCGAGCGUUGCUCGUGUGCUCGUUUGACUUUGAAAUUAAGAGGCGGACAGUUUCACGUAUCACCUGGCGUUAUAGGAUAACCCUUUCGCUUGGACUCGUGAAGCUGUUCUGUCAAAAAUUCCCCAUUUAUUCAGGGUUGACCUCGGAUCAGGUAGGGAUACCCGCUGAACUUAAGCAUAUC